CAUUACAAGUGAGGCUACCGAACGUUGGAAACAGCGGUUAGGAGCUUACACCCACCCGUGUUUACAUACUAUUGUUGCUUUGGCGGGCCGUGGCCUCCACUGCGGGCUCUGCUCGUGUGUGCCCGCCAGAGAACCGAACUCUGAACGUUAGUGAUGUCUGAGUACUAUCUAAUAGUUAAAACUUUCAACAACGGAUCUCUUGGUUCUGGCAUCGAUGAAGAACGCAGCGAAAUGCGAUAAGUAAUGUGAAUUGCAGAAUUCAGUGAAUCAUCGAAUCUUUGAACGCACAUUGCGCCCUGUGGUAUUCCGCAGGGCAUGCCUGUUCGAGCGUCAUUUAACCACUCACGCCUAGCGUGGUAUUGGGGCACGCGGUCUCCGCGGCCCUCAAAAUUAGUGGCGGCGCCGGUGGGCUCUAAGCGUAGUACAUACUCCCGCUAUAGAGUUCCCCCCGGUGGCUCGCCAGAACCCCCAAUUUUUUACAGGUUG
rnacentral:rRNA from 1 species